UACGGGGGGGGGCAAGCGUUGUUCGGAAUUACUGGGCGUAAAGGGCUCGUAGGUGGCCAACUAAGUCAGACGUGAAAUCCCUCGGCUUAACCGGGGGACUGCGUCUGAUACUGGAUGGCUUGAGUUUGGGAGAGGGAUGCGGAAUUCCAGGUGUAGCGGUGAAAUGCGUAGAUAUCUGGAGGAACACCGGUGGCGAAGGCGGCAUCCUGGACCAACACUGACACUGAGGAGCGAAAGCCAGGGGAGCAAACGGG
rnacentral:rRNA from 1 species